UACGUAGGGCGCGAGCGUUGUCCGGAAUUAUUGGGCGUAAAGAGCUCGUAGGCGGCCGGUUGCGUCUGCUGUGAAAUCCCGGGGCUUAACCCCGGGCGUGCAGUGGAUACGGGCCGGCUGGAGGCAGGCAGGGGAGAAUGGAAUUCCCGGUGUAGCGGUGAAAUGCGCAGAUAUCGGGAGGAACACCGGUGGCGAAGGCGGUUCUCUGGACAGUUCCUGACGCUGAGGCGCGAAGGCCAGGGGAGCAAACGGG
rnacentral:rRNA from 1 species